UACGUAGGGUGCGAGCGUUAAUCGGAAUUACUGGGCGUAAAGCGUGCGCAGGCGGUUUUGUAAGCCAGAUGUGAAAUCCCCGGGCUUAACCUGGGAAUGGCAUUUGGGACUGCAAGGCUGGAGUUUGGCAGAGGAGACUGGAAUUCCUGGUGUAGCAGUGAAAUGCGCAGAUAUCAGGAGGAACACCGAUUGCGAAGGCAGCUCGCUGGGACGUUACUGACGCUGAGACGCGAAAGCGUGGGGAGCGAACAGG
rnacentral:rRNA from 1 species